AACGAACGCUGGCGGCAGGCUUAACACAUGCAAGUCGAGCGGGGAAAGGUAGCUUGCUACCUGACCUAGCGGCGGACGGGUGAGUAAUGCUUAGGAAUCUGCCUAUUAGUGGGGGACAACACUCCGAAAGGAAUGCUAAUACCGCAUACGCCCUACGGGGGAAAGCAGGGGAUCUUCGGACCUUGCGCUAAUAGAUGAGCCUAAGUCAGAUUAGCUAGUUGGUGGGGUAAAGGCCUACCAAGGCGACGAUCUGUAGCGGGUCUGAGAGGAUGAUCCGCCACACUGGGACUGAGACACGGCCCAGACUCCUACGGGAGGCAGCAGUGGGGAGUAUUGGACAAUGGGCGAAAGCCUGAUCCAGCCAUGCCGCGUGUGUGAAGAAGGCCUUUUGGUUGUAAAGCACUUUAAGCGAGGAGGAGGCUACUUGGAUUAAUACUCUAGGAUAGUGGACGUUACUCGCAGAAUAAGCACCGGCUAACUCUGUGCCAGCCGCCGCCGUAACAC
rnacentral:rRNA from 1 species